rnacentral:rRNA from 1 species
UACGAAGGGGGCUAGCGUUGCUCGGAUUGACUGGGCGUAAAGGGCGCGUAGGCGGUUCGUACAGUCAGACGUGAAAUUCCUGGGCUCAACCUGGGGGCUGCGUUUGAUACGGGCGGACUUGAGUGCGGAAGAGGGUCGUGGAAUUCCCAGUGUAGAGGUGAAAUUCGUAGAUAUUGGGAAGAACACCGGUGGCGAAGGCGGCGACCUGGUCCGAUACUGACGCUGAGGCGCGAAAGCGUGGGGAGCAAACAGG